rnacentral:rRNA from 1 species
GGGUGACAGCCCCGUACACAAAAAUGCACAUGCUGUGAGCUCGAUGAGUAGGGCGGGACACGUGGUAUCCUGUCUGAAUAUGGGGGGACCAUCCUCCAAGGCUAAAUACUCCUGACUGACCGAUAGUGAACCAGUACCGUGAGGGAAAGGCGAAAAGAACCCCGGCGAGGGGAGUGAAAAAGAACCUGAAACCGUGUACGUACAAGCAGUGGGAGCACGCUUAGGCGUGUGACUGCGUACCUUUUGUAUAAUGGGUCAGCGACUUAUAUUCUGUAGCAAGGUUAACCGAAUAGGGGAGCCGAAGGGAAACCGAGUCUUAACUGGGCGUUAAGUUGCAGGGUAUAGACCCGAAACCCGGUGAUCUAGCCAUGGGCAGGUUGAAGGUUGGGUAACACUAACUGGAGGACCGAACCGACUAAUGUUGAAAAAUUAGCGGAUGACUUGUGGCUGGGGGUGAAAGGCCAAUCAAACCGGGAGAUAGCUGGUUCUCCCCGAAAGCUAUUUAGGUAGCGCCUCGUGAAUUCAUCUCCGGGGGUAGAGCACUGUUUCGGCAAGGGGGUCAUCCCGACUUACCAACCCGAUGCAAACUGCGAAUACCGGAGAAUGUUAUCACGGGAGACACACGGCGGGUGCUAACGUCCGUCGUGAAGAGGGAAACAACCCAGACCGCCAGCUAAGGUCCCAAAGUCAUGGUUAAGUGGGAAACGAUGUGGGAAGGCCCAGACAGCCAGGAUGUUGGCUUAGAAGCAGCCAUCAUUUAAAGAAAGCGUAAUAGCUCACUGGUCGAGUCGGCCUGCGCGGAAGAUGUAACGGGGCUAAACCAUGCACCGAAGCUGCGGCAGCGACACUGUGUGUUGUUGGGUAGGGGAGCGUUCUGUAAGCCUGCGAAGGUGUGCUGUGAGGCAUGCUGGAGGUAUCAGAAGUGCGAAUGCUGACAUAAGUAACGAUAAAGCGGGUGAAAAGCCCGCUCGCCGGAAGACCAAGGGUUCCUGUCCAACGUUAAUCGGGGCAGGGUGAGUCGACCCCUAAGGCGAGGCCGAAAGGCGUAGUCGAUGGGAAACAGGUUAAUAUUCCUGUACUUGGUGUUACUGCGAAGGGGGGACGGAGAAGGCUAUGUUGGCCGGGCGACGGUUGUCCCGGUUUAAGCGUGUAGGCUGGUUUUCCAGGCAAAUCCGGAAAAUCAAGGCUGAGGCGUGAUGACGAGGCACUACGGUGCUGAAGCAACAAAUGCCCUGCUUCCAGGAAAAGCCUCUAAGCAUCAGGUAACAUCAAAUCGUACCCCAAACCGACACAGGUGGUCAGGUAGAGAAUACCAAGGCGCUUGAGAGAACUCGGGUGAAGGAACUAGGCAAAAUGGUGCCGUAACUUCGGGAGAAGGCACGCUGAUACGUAGGUGAAGUCCCUCGCGGAUGGAGCUGAAAUCAGUCGAAGAUACCAGCUGGCUGCAACUGUUUAUUAAAAACACAGCACUGUGCAAACACGAAAGUGGACGUAUACGGUGUGACGCCUGCCCGGUGCCGGAAGGUUAAUUGAUGGGGUCAGCGCAAGCGAAGCUCUUGAUCGAAGCCCCGGUAAACGGCGGCCGUAACUAUAACGGUCCUAAGGUAGCGAAAUUCCUUGUCGGGUAAGUUCCGACCUGCACGAAUGGCGUAAUGAUGGCCAGGCUGUCUCCACCCGAGACUCAGUGAAAUUGAACUCGCUGUGAAGAUGCAGUGUACCCGCGGCAAGACGGAAAGACCCCGUGAACCUUUACUAUAGCUUGACACUGAACAUUGAGCCUUGAUGUGUAGGAUAGGUGGGAGGCUUUGAAGUGUGGACGCCAGUCUGCAUGGAGCCGACCUUGAAAUACCACCCUUUAAUGUUUGAUGUUCUAACGUUGACCCGUGAUCCGGGUUGCGGACAGUGUCUGGUGGGUAGUUUGACUGGGGCGGUCUCCUCCUAAAGAGUAACGGAGGAGCACGAAGGUUGGCUAAUCCUGGUCGGACAUCAGGAGGUUAGUGCAAUGGCAUAAGCCAGCUUGACUGCGAGCGUGACGGCGCGAGCAGGUGCGAAAGCAGGUCAUAGUGAUCCGGUGGUUCUGAAUGGAAGGGCCAUCGCUCAACGGAUAAAAGGUACUCCGGGGAUAACAGGCUGAUACCGCCCAAGAGUUCAUAUCGACGGCGGUGUUUGGCACCUCGAUGUCGGCUCAUCACAUCCUGGGGCUGAAGUAGGUCCCAAGGGUAUGGCUGUUCGCCAUUUAAAGUGGUACGCGAGCUGGGUUUAGAACGUCGUGAGACAGUUCGGUCCCUA